GUUGGUGAUUUUAACAAGAUCUUGUAUUCUUAUGAAAAUGAGGGUGGUAACCUGAGACUGAUUAAAUUGAUGGAGCGACCAUUGACUAUAUUAUUAAGCAUGGUUUUAGAGGACCUUGGUUACUUCGGAGAUAUGUUCACCUGGUGCAGAGGUCACAUUAAGUAACGUCUUGAUCGUGCUGUAGGGAACGGAUCGUGGCAAAGUCUAUUUCCUUCAGCUACGGUAACAAAUGGAGAUCAUUGCAAGUUUGACCACCGUCUGCUUAUACGAAUUUAUCUGGAGCCGAAUGAUGCCCUAUCCUUUGGUCAAGUGGAUGCAAGAAGUUUGAAGCUCGGUUGGUCACAGGAAAAAUUGAUACAUGAAACGCUAGUUAAGGCAUGUGAUGAUGCAGCAGGGGUGCCUAAUUUCGUUGCGCGUACAGCUCUAGUGCAUGCUGAGCUUUACUAG
rnacentral:rRNA from 1 species